UACGUAGGGGGCAAGCGUUGUCCGGAAUCAUUGGGCGUAAAGAGCGCGUAGGCGGCCCAGUAAGUCCGCUCUGAAAGUCAGGGGCUCAACCCCUGAAUGCGGGUGGAUACUGCUGGGCUAGAGUCCGGAAGAGGCGAGUGGAAUUCCUGGUGUAGCGGUGAAAUGCGCAGAUAUCAGGAAGAACGACCCGUGGCGAAAGCGGCUCUCUGGAACGGUACUGACGCUGAGACGCGAAAGCGUGGGGAGCGAACAGG
rnacentral:rRNA from 1 species